GCCAGACUCCUACGGGAGGCAGCAGUGAGGAAUAUUGGUCAAUGGUCGGGAGACUGAACCAGCCAAGCCGCGUGAGGGAGGAAGGUACAGAGUAUCGUAAACCUCUUUUGUCAGGGAACAAAGACUGGGACGCGUCCCCGGAUGAGUGUACCUGAAGAAAAAGCAUCGGCUAACUCCGUGCCAGCAGCCGCGGUAAUACGGAGGAUGCGAGCGUUAUCCGGAUUUAUUGGGUUUAAAGGGUGCGCAGGCGGAAUGUCAAGUCAGCGGUAAAAUUUCGGGGCUCAACCCCGUCGUGCCGUUGAAACUGGCGUUCUUGAGUGAGCGAGAAGUAUGCGGAAUGCGUGGUGUAGCGGUGAAAUGCAUAGAUAUCACGCAGAACUCCGAUUGCGAAGGCAGCGUACCGGCGCCCAACUGACGCUGAAGCACGAAGGCGUGGGUAUCGAACAGGAUUAGAUACCCUAGUA
rnacentral:rRNA from 1 species